GGCACUGCGGCGGCCUAUAAUGCAGUCGAGCGGACAGAUGGGAGCUUGCUCCCUGAUGUUAGCGGCGGACGGGUGAGUAACACGUGGGUAACCUGCCUGUAAGACUGGGAUAACUCCGGGAAACCGGGGCUAAUACCGGAUGCUUGAUUGAACCGCAUGGUUCAAUUAUAAAAGGUGGCUUUUAGCUACCACUUACAGAUGGACCCGCGGCGCAUUAGCUAGUUGGUGAGGUAACGGCUCACCAAGGCGACGAUGCGUAGCCGACCUGAGAGGGUGAUCGGCCACACUGGGACUGAGACACGGCCCAGACUCCUACGGGAGGCAGCAGUAGGGAAUCUUCCGCAAUGGACGAAAGUCUGACGGAGCAACGCCGCGUGAGUGAUGAAGGUUUUCGGAUCGUAAAACUCUGUUGUUAGGGAAGAACAAGUACCGUUCGAAUAGGGCGGUACCUUGACGGUACCUAACCAGAAAGCCACGGCUAACUACGUGCCAGCAGCCGCGGUAAUACGUAGGUGGCAAGCGUUGUCCGGAAUUAUUGGGCGUAAAGCGCGCGCAGGCGGUUUCUUAAGUCUGAUGUGAAAGCCCCCGGCUCAACCGGGGAGGGUCAUUGGAAACUGGGGAACUUGAGUGCAGAAGAGGAGAGUGGAAUUCCACGUGUAGCGGUGAAAUGCGUAGAGAUGUGGAGGAACACCAGUGGCGAAGGCGACUCUCUGGUCUGUAACUGACCUAGGCCGAAAACUGGGGGGGGAGA
rnacentral:rRNA from 1 species